rnacentral:rRNA from 1 species
UUAGUGGCAGACGGGUGAGUAACAUGUAGGUAUCUGCCCUUUGGCCUGGAAUAACACGAGGAAGCUUGUGCUAAUACCGGAUAAGUCUUUACGGAGAAAGCUUUAUGCACCAUUGGAUGAGCCUGCACUUGAUUAGUUUGUUGGUGGGGUAAUGGCCUACCAAGACUGUGAUCAAUAGCUGAUUUGAGAGGAUGAUCAGCCACAUUGGGACUGAGACACGGCCCAAACUCCUACGGGAGGCAGCAGUGGGGAAUCUUGCACAAUGGAGGAAACUCUGAUGCAGCGAUGCCGCGUGAGUGAAGAAGGCCCUUGGGUUGUAAAGCUCUUUCGUCGGGGAAGAAAAUGACUGUACCCGAAUAAGAAGGUCCGGCUAACUUCGUGCCAGCAGCCGCGGUAAUACGAAGGGACCUAGCGUAGUUCGGAAUUACUGGGCUUAAAGAGUUCGUAGGUGGUUGAAAAAGUUGGUGGUGAAAUCCCAGAGCUUAACUCUGGAACUGCCAUCAAAACUUUUCAGCUAGAGUAUGAUAGAGGAAAGCAGAAUUUCUAGUGUAGAGGUGAAAUUCGUAGAUAUUAGAAAGAAUACCAAUUGCGAAGGCAGCU